rnacentral:rRNA from 1 species
GACGAACGCUGGCGGCGUGCUUAACACAUGCAAGUCGAACGGAGUGGCGCACGGGUGAGUAACACGUGGGUGACCUGCCCUGCACUUCGGGCUAAGCCUGGGCAACUGGGUCUAAUACCGGAUAGUGUGGGAUGGGCCCUCGGCCUAUCGGCGUGUUGGUGGGGGAAUGGCCUACCAAGGCGGCGACGGAUAGCCGGCCUGCGAGGGUGGACGGCGACAUUGGGACUGAGACAGGGACCAGACUCCUACGGGAGGCAGCAGUGGGGAAUAUUGCACAAUGGGCGGAAGACUGUUGCAGCGAAGCUGCGUGGGGGAGGACGGCCUUCGGGGUGUAAACUCCUUUCACCAUCGACGCGGUAGAUGGAGAAGAAGCACCGGCUAACUACGUGCCAGCAGCCGCGGGAAUAC